GAAAAAUCCCUUUUUUCUGCAAGGCAUAAGGAGAAAGAGGGGAAAGGAGAUGCCACCAUAAGGUUCCAGAGAAUCAGGGGACAAGUCAGUCCAUUUCACUUUCUCUGUCUGAGGGUCCCAUCUAACUCUCAGUAAAUCUUGAUGCAUGGUUCAGCUCCUGGGAAGGAAUUUUCUGAAUUUGCAAAACCUUUUGUGGAGAAGUGGAGAAAGGAGGGAUCAAACGUAAAGUGACUCAGACAAGGCCCUGGGCAAGACUGUCUUUCUGCAUUAAAGGAUGAGAGAGCCAAGUCCAACCCCACGUCCAUUGUCUUGGAUAUGGUUGUAGUUUUCUGAUGAUGACAAGCUCACAAAGCAAGUUCGACUCUAUGAUCUGACAGAAAAGGUUUUGUUCAAAGUGAGUUAUGAUUACUUCAA